rnacentral:rRNA from 1 species
AGGAAGGUAGUGUAGUUAACACCUGCACUAUUUGACGUUACCUACAGAAGAAGCACCGGCUAACUCCGUGCCAGCAGCCGCGGUAAUACGGAGGGUGCGAGCGUUAAUCGGAAUUACUGGGCGUAAAGCGCAUGCAGGCGGCCUGUUAAGUCAGAUGUAGAAAGGCCCGGGGACCGUUUAACCCGUACCGGUAAAGUUUGCAUUUAGUAAACGUGGCGAGGCUAGAGUCUUGUAGAGGGGGGUAGGAAUUUCAGGUGUAGCGGUGAAAUGCGUAGAGAUCUGAAGGAAUACCAGUGGCGAAGGCGGCCCCCUGGACAAAGACUGACGCUCAGAUGCGAAAGCGUGGGGAGCAAACAGGAUUAGAUACCCUGGUAG